CAGAAGCACAGUGCACCAGUUUCCCCUGAGGAAAGUACACCAUGAAGAUUGCCGCAGUGAUCAUGAUGGCCAUCACUCUGGUCUGCUUCUUUGCAAACGCCGAGGCCAAUCCUGGUCCCUGGGGUUACGGGGACCACCAUGACCACAAAGGGCACCACUACCACGACCACAAGGGCUACCUCCAUCACAAGCACGACCACCACCAUCACCACUAUCAUCACCAUAAAUACGAAAAGCACGGCUACGGUCAUCACAGAAAGUGAGGUAACAUCCACCAAGUGAUCUCCAGCUACUUCUCCAUUUUUUUUCUAGUAAAGAAUGAGAUGUUUAACAAUUUAUUCCAUAAUGGAGAACGAGAUUGGAGGCACACUGCAACUUUCAAGUUGACAUU